CAUGCACCGAAGCUGCGGCAGCGACACUGUGUGUUGUUGGGUAGGGGAGCGUUCUGUAAGCCUGUGAAGGUGUGCUGUGAGGCAUGCUGGAGGUAUCAGAAGUGCGAAUGCUGACAUAAGUAACGAUAAAGCGGGUGAAAAGCCCGCUCGCCGGAAGACCAAGGGUUCCUGUCCAACGUUAAUCGGGGCAGGGUGAGUCGACCCCUAAGGCGAGGCCGAAAGGCGUAGUCGAUGGGAAACAGGUUAAUAUUCCUGUACUUGGUGUUACUGCGAAGGGGGGACGGAGAAGGCUAUGUUGGCCGGGCGACGGUUGUCCCGGUUUAAGCGUGUAGGCUGGUUUUCCAGGCAAAUCCGGAAAAUCAAGGCUGAGGCGUGAUGACGAGGCACUACGGUGCUGAAGCAACAAAUGCCCUGCUUCCAGGAAAAGCCUCUAAGCAUCAGGUAACAUCAAAUCGUACCCCAAACCGACACAGGUGGUCAGGUAGAGAAUACCAAGGCGCUUGAGAGAACUCGGGUGAAGGAACUAGGCAAAAUGGUGCCGUAACUUCGGGAGAAGGCACGCUGAUAUGUAGGUGAAGUCCCUCGCGGAUGGAGCUGAAAUCAGUCGAAGAUACCAGCUGGCUGCAACUGUUUAUUAAAAACACAGCACUGUGCAAACACGAAAGUGGACGUAUACGGUGUGACGCCUGCCCGGUGCCGGAAGGUUAAUUGAUGGGGUCAGCGCAAGCGAAGCUCUUGAUCGAAGCCCCGGUAAACGGCGGCCGUAACUAUAACGGUCCUAAGGUAGCGAAAUUCCUUGUCGGGUAAGUUCCGACCUGCACGAAUGGCGUAAUGAUGGCCAGGCUGUCUCCACCCGAGACUCAGUGAAAUUGAACUCGCUGUGAAGAUGCAGUGUACCCGCGGCAAGACGGAAAGACCCCGUGAACCUUUACUAUAGCUUGACACUGAACAUUGAGCCUUGAUGUGUAGGAUAGGUGGGAGGCUUUGAAGUGUGGACGCCAGUCUGCAUGGAGCCGACCUUGAAAUACCACCCUUUAAUGUUUGAUGUUCUAACGUGGACCCGUGAUCCGGGUUGCGGACAGUGUCUGGUGGGUAGUUUGACUGGGGCGGUCUCCUCCUAAAGAGUAACGGAGGAGCACGAAGGUUGGCUAAUCCUGGUCGGACAUCAGGAGGUUAGUGCAAUGGCAUAAGCCAGCUUGACUGCGAGCGUGACGGCGCGAGCAGGUGCGAAAGCAGGUCAUAGUGAUCCGGUGGUUCUGAAUGGAAGGGCCAUCGCUCAACGGAUAAAAGGUACUCCGGGGAUAACAGGCUGAUACCGCCCAAGAGUUCAUAUCGACGGCGGUGUUUGGCACCUCGAUGUCGGCUCAUCACAUCCUGGGGCUGAAGUAGGUCCCAAGGGUAUGGCUGUUCGCCAUUUAAAGUGGUACGCGAGCUGGGUUUAGAACGUCGUGAGACAGUUCGGUCCCUAUCUGCCGUGGGCGCUGGAGAACUGAGGGGGGCUGCUCCUAGUACGAGAGGACCGGAGUGGACGCAUCACUGGUGUUCGGGUUGUCAUGCCAAUGGCACUGCCCGGUAGCUAAAUGCGGAAGAGAUAAGUGCUGAAAGCAUCUAAGCACGAAACUUGCCCCGAGAUGAGUUCUCCCUGACCCUUUAAGGGUCCUGAAGGAACGUUGAAGACGACGACGUUGAUAGGCCGGGUGUGUAAGCGCAGCGAUGCGUUGAGCUAACCGGUACUAAUGAACCGUGAGGCUUAACCUUACAACGCCGAAGGUGUUU
rnacentral:rRNA from 1 species